rnacentral:misc_RNA from 1 species
UGGACUUAACGAAGUUAUAAAAAAAAACUGGCCAUGAUUUUAAUAUGUUUUAUAUAUACAUGCAAUACCACACAGAUGUCAUACUCUUUAGAAAUGUGGUUAACUUCAUCCUAGAAUGCCAUUCAUUUCUCUUCAAAAAUAGCAGUUUUAUAGUUAGAUCAGGUACUCACCAAGUUAUCAGAAAAUUUUGAUGGUAUAGAGAAAAAAAGUAAUAAUGUAACCAUGCCCGAAAGUGAUGGAACAUACCGUUACAUCUAACAACUGACAACAUUACAAACAUGGCAAAUGGCUGUAGGUGACUACAGCUUUACCAAUAAAAAUUGACUAUUUAU